UACAGAGGUCCCGAGCGUUGUUCGGAUUUAUUGGGCGUAAAGGGUGCGUAGGCGGCGGAGUAAGUUGGGUGUGAAAUCCCGAGGCUCAACCUCGGAAUGGCAUUCAAUACUGCUUCGCUCGAGUACUGGAGAGGAGGCUGGAAUUUACGGUGUAGCAGUGAAAUGCGCAGAUAUCAGGAGGAACACCGGUGGCGAAGGCGGAUCUCUGGGCCUUACCUGACGCUGAGGCGCGAAAGCUAGGGGAGCAAACAGG
rnacentral:rRNA from 1 species